rnacentral:rRNA from 2 species
UACAGAGGGUGCGAGCGUUGUUCGGAAUUACUGGGCGUAAAGCGCGUGUAGGCGGUCUAGCAAGUCAGAUGUGAAAUCCCGGGGCCUAACUCCGGACGUGCAUUUGAAACUACUAGGCUAGAGUGAUGUAGAGGAUGGCGGAAUACCCAGUGUAGAGGUGAAAUUCGUAGAGAUUGGGUAGAACACCGGUGGCGAAGGCGGCCAUCUGGGCAUUAACUGACGCUGAGACGCGAAAGCGUGGGGAGCAAACAGG